AUUGAACGCUGGCGGCAUGCUUUACACAUGCAAGUCGAACGGUAACAGGUUAAGCUGACGAGUGGCGAACGGGUGAGUAAUGCAUCGGAACGUGCCCGGUCGUGGGGGAUAACGCAGCGAAAGCUGCGCUAAUACCGCAUACGAUCUGAGGAUGAAAGCGGGGGACCGUAAGGCCUCGCGCGAUUGGAGCGGCCGAUGUCAGAUUAGGUAGUUGGUGGGGUAAAGGCUCACCAAGCCAACGAUCUGUAGCUGGUCUGAGAGGACGACCAUCCACACUGGGACUGAGACGCGGCCCGGACUCCUACGGGAGGCAGCAGUGGGGAAUUUUGGACAAUGGGCGAAAGUCUGAUCCAGCAAUGCCGCGUGCAGGAAGAAGGCCUUCGGGUUGUAAACUGCUUUUGUACGGAGCGAGAAGGUCUCCUCUAAUACAGGGGGCUCAUGACGGUACCGUAAGAAUAAGCACCGGCUAACUACGUGCCAGCCGCCGCAGUAA
rnacentral:rRNA from 1 species